UUGUGGCCCAGCUUCCUGACAGAUUUCUUCUUGUUUGCUUUGAUGUUUUACCUUCCUUCUGUAUCGUCUGUUUUCUUUUUCUCGGCACUGAUUCAGGAUCCUUGCAGCCAGCUGUAGCUUCUCCUGGAAGAACCCCAGUUACAUGCACAGAGAAUGAGUGGCCAAUUUGAGCCCCUUAAUAUAAUUUGGCCCCUAAGUUUCAAGGGGAUCUAUUCACCAGAUUACACCGUCUCUUCUCGGAAGUUGGGUGAUGAAGUCUGGAAAGCCGUGAACAUGUUAUGUCGGACAGGAGGAAUUGUCACACGUUUGCCUGCUCGUGGCAGCAGAGUGAUGAACCGUACAACUGCUUCAACGCAUAGUCGUGCGGCGUUCCGAGGGCGACUCCACCCCUCCAGAGCAGCCGUUCUCAGGCUACUGCAGAGCAGAGCCCUCUCCAUCACCACAGCUGUCUGUCACACCCACGGCCUGAGCUGGGGCCCUCGCCAGGACUGGGGCAGGCAGAGACGAUUGCGCCUUUCAGAAGCAUUCUGCUGCGCUGUGCUAAGCCACAGAGCAUUUCAGCGGGCGCGGGGCAGAGUCCUGGUACUGGGGCUCCGUGAAAGCGAUGGUGAGUAUUUUUUUCAGGAGACUUAUUGCAAAAACCACCAAACCCCCCAGUCUGCCUUGGGUGCUUUAAAUUGGCCCCCUUCCUUCCCCCUCCCCCCAGAUUUGCUUUUCUGCAAUGUAUGCUUGUAGGGGCAUCGAAAACAGCCAUGUGGGCUGGAGUGGCAGCCCAGUUUCGGAGCUCUCCCAUAAAGGUGUGCUCAGCCCUGCCUGCCAUUGUCAUUCUCCAGGAGGCAUGCUGUUGAUUUACAGUUCUGCACCACAGCUACAAAGGGGCCCUGGCCCAAAUGGCAGAGGAGAGGCCUCGGAGGAGUGUGAUAAUGGAAGAUUUAUGUUUCCUCCAUAUAUUUUUGAGACGUGGUAUUAAUGUCCAGUCGGUUGGAAUCCCGACUGCACCCCCAUGUCAGGAAGG